ensembl:lncRNA
CAGUGUUUAUAAAAUAUAAUCGCUAUAUAUAUAUAUAUAUAUAUAUAUAUAUAUAUAUAUAUAUAUAUAUAUAUAUAUAUAUAUAUAUAUAUAUAUAUAUUGGGCGAUUAACCUACAGGAUUGCUCUACAGAUAGACAUAUAUCCAUUGAAAAUAUCUGAUAUAAUCCGCACCCUUCUGUAAAUAACACGGAUUAAAACAAAGGACGGUGAUCACAAUGAAAUUCCUUGAAUCAAUAUAUGAAAAUAUGCAGGAAACAUUUAUAAUCGUAUUAUGCUCCUAGUCUAGUGUCAUCAUAUGUCUGCUAAUCGUCUUCCAAACAACGGCACCGAUUAGUGCUUUAACGAGUUUCGUUUAUUUGAAUAUAGGAUGACUAAAUCUCAAUUCAGUAAUGAAAGAUUAUGGUGAAUCAGCUUCGGCUUGGAUUUAAUGUGAUGUGGUUUCCAAGAACGCAAUGUUCCUUCUAAACCUUCCAUCUGCUUUUAAAGAGAUAGCCUAGUUAUUGUUAUGGGAUCCUAAUAUCAGGAAUGUCAUUUGUAUUGGCUCUUUGCUUAUUUAACGGCUCCCGGAUUCCCAUGUUCUCCUUACCACGUGUCUGCUGUUUUGACGUCUAACAAUGCAGGAUUACGGGGGUUAUUAAUUAGAACAGCAGUCUGAUGCCAUUCAGAGCGGAUGGUAAUAACUACAUAACCGUCAAUAACACCCACACGGACCUGCAGAGCUAACAAGAGCUCUCAGCCCACCCAGCUGACCCCACAGCACUGCGCCAUCUGGGAUUAUACAAAACACAGCUAACCCUCUAGGUUUCAAGCAGUCUGGUUUUCUUUAUAAUCUUAUUUACCUACAGGUACUUGCAUUUUUUUUUUUUUUUUUUGAUGUAAGCUAAACGUUUUCAAAUCACUGAAUGUAGUGAAACUGGGAGCUCGGGGAAAGGAUAAGUGUGCGUGUUGGAGUCCGCCCUGCAGCGCUCAGAAUUCGGAUGGACACGUGUCUCAUCCCGGGACCUGUCAGGGUCUCAAGCUGCUGUAGCAGGUUUGUAUGUAGCUGCAGGAGAAGCAGCUGUACUAACACAGAGGCCCCUAUCCACCCAGAGGCACUGAUAACCCUGCUGGAAGAAUAGCUCACAGUCUACAUAUUGAUGCAUCCUCAAAUAUAAAGUCAAGUAGGGUUUUACAGAUUGCAUGCCUUGUAUAAUUUUCCAGUUAAGAAACUAGCCUCAUGUCUUUAUAGUUUUUCUGUCCUUAUUAUAUUUUAGAACCGGCUAAUAGCAAAUUGUAGUGCGAGCUGCUAUCAGGUCUAGACUGAAUAGCAUUAUGGUAUUCGGUGUGUGUGUGUAAUCUGUAAUAUUGAGUGGCACAGCAUGCCAACACACUGAGGUCAGUGCAGUUUAUACUGCCAGCACUUAUACUCAGCAUGCAGUUAGUGAUAUGACAUAG